UACAGAGGUGGCAAGCGUUGUUCGGAAUUACUGGGCGUAAAGGGCGCGUAGGCGGCCUUCUAAGUCAGACGUGAAAUCCCCAGGCUUAACUUGGGAACUGCGUCUGAUACUGGGAGGCUUGAAUGCGGGAGAGGGAUGUGGAAUUCCAGGUGUAGCGGUGAAAUGCGUAGAUAUCAGGAGGAACACCGGUGGCGAAGGCGGAUCUCUGGGCCAUUACUGACGCUGAGGAGCGAAAGCGUGGGGAGCGAACAGG
rnacentral:rRNA from 1 species